rnacentral:rRNA from 1 species
UACGUAGGUGGCAAGCGUGGUCCGGAUUUACUGGGCGUAAAGCGCGUGUAGGCGGCUGAGCAAGUCUGCUGUGAAAGCUCCUGGCUUAACCGGGAGUGGUCGGUGGAAACUGCUCGUCUGGAGGACGGUAGAGGUAGGUAGAAUUCCCGGUGUAGUGGUGAAAUGCGUAGAGAUCGGGAGGAAUACCUGUGGCGAAGGCGGCCUACUGGGCCGGACCUGACGCUGAGACGCGAAGGCGUGGGGAGCGAACGGG